UACGGGGGGAGCAAGCGUUGUUCGGAUUUACUGGGCGUAAAGGGCGCGUAGGCGGUCAGCACAAGUCAGUUGUGAAAUCUCCGGGCUUAACUCGGAAAGGUCAACUGAUACUGUGCGACUAGAGUGCAGAAGGGGCAACUGGAAUUCUCGGUGUAGCGGUGAAAUGCGUAGAUAUCGGAAAGAACACCAACGGCGAAAGCACUCUGCUGGGCCGACACUGACACUGAGAGACGAAAGCUAGGGGAGCGAAUGGG
rnacentral:rRNA from 1 species